rnacentral:rRNA from 1 species
ACUCGAGUGGCGAACGGGUGAGUAACACGUGGGUGAUCUGCCCUGCACUUCGGGAUAAGCCCGGGAAACUGGGUCUAAUACCGGAUAGGAGCCAUUUUUAGUGUGAUGGUUGGAAAGUUUUUCGGUGUAGGAUGAGCUCGCGGCCUAUCAGCUUGUUGGUGGGGUAAUGGCCUACCAAGGCGGCGACGGGUAGCCGGCCUGAGAGGGUGGACGGCCACAUUGGGACUGAGAUGCGGCCCAG